UACGUAGGGUGCGAGCGUUGUCCGGAAUUAUUGGGCGUAAAGAGCUCGUAGGCGGUUUGUUGCGUCGGCUGUGAAAUCCCGAGGCUCAACCUCGGGUCUGCAGUCGAUACGAGCAAACUAGAGUGUUGCAGGGGAGGCUGGAAUUCCUAGUGUAGCGGUGAAAUGCGCAGAUAUCAGGAGGAACACCGGUGGCGAAGGCGGGUCUCUGGGCAAAAACUGACGCUGAGGAGCGAAAGCGUGGGGAGCGAACAGG
rnacentral:rRNA from 1 species